AUGAGUUCCCUCCACCCCCUGCCCCGCGUUCUUAAAGGACAGCUCGUUGUGCGCUUUGGUCAGGACCGGGUGAGGCUGUGGGGACCCCACCACCCAUCCCCUGCUCCCCGUCCCGAGGCACAGGAUGGGGACAAGCGGCCCGGGGACAUUUCCAGGCUGGGCUGUGUUUUUUGGGAACCUCAGACUGAAAAGGCAAUGUGGGAAGCGGGGGCGGGCGGGGACCUGCUGGCUGCUGGCAGGGUCUCGCCUCCUCCCGGCUCCCUCCCCAAAACGCAGGCCGGGGGGCACGCAGGGUGCCACCGGUAUGGGACACCCCGUGGAGGAUGCUUCCCAGCCUCUCCCCACCUUUUUCUUCCCCAGGCAGGGGCAAAAAGCGAGGGCAGGCUGCCUGCAGGAUUAAGGACGCUGGGUAUCACGCGAAAGGCAAAGGUAGCACCAAGGAGCGCCGGGGGCUGCGGGCGGCACUGCAACGCGCCCCCAGACGCAACCCUCCGUGACGGAGGCACCCGGAACCAGCAGCAAGGGGACCCCGGGGGACCUGCUGCCCCUCGGAGGGGUUCCUCGGGUGGAGCAAACCCCCGGGGCUGCCCCCAGGAGGAAGACAAGGCGAGCCCAUCCCCAGGACUACACCACAGGCUCUGCCUCAUUGCCAUGGGGUUGGGGACACCGGGCUGCGCGAGGGGAGCCCGGCUCCCUCCUGCAGCCCUGGGGAAGGUGCGGGGAGCCACCAGGCAGCCAGAGGAGCCCCGAGAACCCGGUGAUGCUGUGACACUGCCACCCUGCCCGGCACAGCCCCCCAGCAAGCUCCCAGGCCCACACCAGGGCCAAGAAAGCCACCUGGGGAUGCUCUCAGAAAAAAAAAACACCUCCAUCCUCUCCAACCAGCAACAGCGAGGGUCCCACCACCUCCUAAUAACCACCAAAACUCUACGCGCUCGGCUCCGUAGCAGCCACCAAAGCGUCCCCAGAUGCUCUUACCGCUGCAGCAGCAGGACCCGAGCCACUUUCGGAUGGAGAUGUCCAGGCAGCCACUCCCCUCCCACGGCAUCGCGGGGACACCACCGCUGGGUGCCAUCCUCGUGGCGCAGCUCAGAGCCUUUGGGCCAACCUCGCAGGGCUCCUGCACCAAGCCCGGCCGUGGCACCGCUGCAGCUCCCGCCCACUGCGGCACCAUUCGGGCAGAGAUUUCUGCCACGGACCUCCCGGGGGACCCCCAGGGGGUUUCGUCCCACCAAGGCGCCCGGGGAAGCUGGCGCACAGCUGUCCUUUAAGGCUCUCCGAGUACCACACCGGAGAUGUAAACCACUGAAGUCUUUUUUUGUUUGUUUUCUUUUGGACAAGAAAGUGACAAAUUAA
rnacentral:lncRNA from 1 species